ACUCCUACGGGAGGCAGCAGUGGGGAAUAUUGGACAAUGGGCGGAAAGACCUGAUCCAGCCAUGCCGCGUGUGUGAAGAAGGCCUUUUGGUUGUAAAGCACUUUAAGCGAGGAGGAGGCUACCGAGAUUAAUACCCUUGGAUAGUGGACGUUACUCGCAGAAUAAGCACCGGCUAACUCUGUGCCAGCAGCCGCGGUAAUACAGAGGGUGCGAGCGUUAAUCGGAUUUACUGGGCGUAAAGCGUGCGUAGGCGGCUUUUUAAGUCGGAUGUGAAAUCCCUGAGCUUAACUUAGGAAUUGCAUUCGAUACUGGGAAGCUAGAGUAUGGGAGAGGAUGGUAGAAUUCCAGGUGUAGCGGUGAAAUGCGUAGAGAUCUGGAGGAAUACCGAUGGCGAAGGCAGCCAUCUGGCCUAAUACUGACGCUGAGGUACGAAAGCAUGGGGAGCAAACAGGAUUAGAUACCCUGGUAGGUG
rnacentral:rRNA from 1 species